rnacentral:lncRNA from 1 species
GACUCGCCAGCCCAUUUAGUUGCCAGCAAACGGUGUAACGUUGUAAUCAGCACAGAUAGUGACCAAGGUGAUGUGGUCUUUAUCUGAUAAUAACGCAGUGGUCUUUAUCCGAUGCUGCACUCAUCACAUCCUCUGACGGACUUUGACUGGGCGAAUUUAACCGGACGGGAAUAAAGUCGAUGGAUUUGUUGGGCUGGCCAAUCGAGUCGGACGGAAAGACCAGAGUUCCAUGUCUAAUAUUUUCAAUUCAAUCCAAUUACUCUAAUAUAAUUAAUGAUACAUUUUAGUUGAAACAAAAUAGAUAAAAACCGAUUGUUUUAUUGUUUGAGCGGUUUUUAAUUAUUGUGGGAUAUUGACUUUUUUUAAAUCGAUAUUUUAUUUUUAUGGCUAACGAUUAGUGUCGUCUGCUUUUUCCUGUUCUGUACUCUUUUUUUUUCUCUCGACAAAGCAUGAGACAAAGAAACCACGUUUAAGAUCACAAAGAAAAUGGAAUUUUUUGGAAACAAAUUUACACGAAAGAUUAAGAACAUCACAAAAAUGUGAUCGUCGUUUUCAUCAUGUUAACUCUGGAGUUCGCGACUCUCCAAUCUCCAUGCUGUUUUGGCAGAUUUGGGGCCGGAGCCUACCAUCACAAAGAAAAGAUGUGCAAGUUUUGCUUGUGCAUCACCAAUCACAUGUCUUCAAUCACCUGCCAUCAGCAACAAUCUCUGUGUCAUCGCUAAUGAUAACCAGCAUCCCGUUUGAGUGGAGAAACAACCGAUGUCGGUCGAGUUCUUCCCCUUUCUCUACUCGUGUACAUGUGAAUGCAUGGAUGUAUUCACCAGGACGUCCUUUUAACUAUCUUUUCUGGUGGAUUCUGUGGAUUUGGAACUUCUAUGGAAUGUGGGGUGCCUGCCUGUAUUCCCCAGGCUUCAAGAUAAACAGCUUUUUGAUUGGAGAAACUACCGAUGCCGGGUGACUCAUCUCUUCUUUCCCUUUCUUUAAAUGUCCAAGUGUAUGCCCAUGUGAGUGUGGGUAUAUUCACGAGGACCUCCUUUUUCCUAUCCCGUCUCCUGGAUUCUGCGGAUGGAGCACCUGUGGAUGCCUGGCCAUAUUUCCCAGGCUUAAAGGGCUAAAUGUACCAGCUUGAGUUGUCUUCGAGCAGUCAAUUGGGAUACUCAGAUGCCGUCUUCUUUUCCUUCACCCGUGAUUACCAAAAUAUGCAAGGAGGAUUAGAAAAAGGACCUGUGUACCGACCGAAUGCUAUAUCACAAGGGACGACAUCACCUGCAGAAGAUGAGCCAUUGAAUUUACUUCUGUCCGGAUCGUCACCUGCAUUGCCAUGAGCCGCUGGUCAAGCUCAAGACCCGUUUGGCAAUGGCGACAAAUAACGACUGGAGGCCCAGUGACAAAGUAUAAUUCAGUAAAAGUGACAGCCCCAAUAACAACACGUCAGCACAGAUUUGGUGGGCGGCGCGACGGUGCCACACUCGGCCACAUCCUAACAUUGGGACACACGUACAACAUUUAUUCACAAACAUUUAUAAAAAAAAAAAAAAAAAAAUUAUGUUAUUUAUUAUGUAACAUUAAUAAUCUUUUCACCUUUUCAGUUCUUUUUCAUUUAAGUUGAAUUUAAGAUUCAGAAUCAAAUGGAACUUCUAGGUUCUAGAUUGCUGCCGACUGCUUUGGCUCGGUCUAAUUUCGGGUGGGAUGCCUUUGGGAGUGCCCGAAGGCGGUGUG